rnacentral:rRNA from 1 species
AUGCCGCUGGAGCGCGCCGACAGGCUCAACCUCUCCGAGCUCCUCGGGGCCAACCUCGGCAUCAAGCGCCAGGACCUGCAGCCGCUUGUGUACAAAGUUCUCCUGAAAGUGCCUUUACCCUGCAUACCACCUCUGAUCUCUGCUGGAAACCAUGCUCGAGGAGUUGUUCUUUCUGCCCGAAGACUGGGCUGUCACGCCGUUAUUGUCAUGCCUGUGACAACACCAGAAAUCAAGUGGCAGUCAGUGGAGAGAUUGGGUGCAACAGUUGUUCUCAGAGAUUCAUACGAUGAAGCUCAAUCAUAUGCAAAACUACUCUGUGAGGAGGAAGGCCGCACAUUCAUACCUCCUUUUGACCAUCCCGACAUUAUUGGUGGACAUGGAACUGUUGGCAUGGAAAUUGUUCGCGAAUUGCAAGGUCCAUUGAAUGAAAUAUUUGUACCUAUGGGAGGUGGUGGGUUAAUUGCUGCAAUUCCUGCCUCUGUGAGACUGGUCCGCCCUGAGGUCAAAAUAAUUGGAGUGGAGCCCUCAGAUGAAAAUACCAUGGCAUUGUCCUUGUAUCAUGGCCAUAGGGUCAAGUUAGAACAUGUUGGAGGGUUUGCUGAUGGUGUAGCUGUCAAAGUUGUAGGCGAGGAGGAAUUUCGCUUUUGUCAAGGACUUGUAGGUGGCACUGUCCUGUUCAGCCGAGAUGCUAUCCGUGCGUCAAUAAAGGAUAUGUUUGAGGACAGGAAUAUCCUUGAACCUGCUGGGCCCCUUGCCUUGGCAGGGGUUGAAUCUUACUGCAAAUACUACGGUUUGAAAGGGGAAACUGUGGUUGCAAUAAGUAGUGGCGCAAAUAUGAACUGUGGUUGCAAAGCUGAACCGGGGAAGGCCAAAAUUGUCGCAGUUGCAGCCGAUGGCAAGCAAUGUGAGGAUAGCUGUAGACGCUGUUGCAGAGAUGGGGAAAAGCCGCUGGCGUGGCUGAACGCGGGGCUGGACACCGCCACCCGGAUCAUCAAGCUCGUGGCGGCGGGGCUCGGCUUAUAUGUGACAGCGCAGCACCCGCUGUUGGUCACGCGCUUGGAGGCCUGGCUGCUCGCCAUGGUGCGUUUCAUCCUCGUUGGAUUUCAUUCGCUCUUAUCAUAUGGUUGUCUCUUUACUUUUCAUUCCACAACACGCCUGACGGUAGAGGAAAGGGGACGAGACUUGGAGAGACAGAAGAUGAGAGACAGAGAACAACAGGUGAGAUUCAGAUACAUGCUCGUUCAUGCCAACUCCUCUGUUCGGUUCAGGUUAAAUACCCACACGCCGCCAGCCUGGCCAUAG